rnacentral:rRNA from 1 species
GUGAGGAAUAUUGGUCAAUGGGCGAAAGCCUGAACCAGCCAAGUCGCGUGAAGGACGACGGUUCUAUGGAUUGUAAACUUCUUUUGUACAGGAUUAAAAGCUUCUACGUGUAGGGGAAUUGCAGUUACUGUACGAAUAAGCAUCGGCUAACUCCGUGCCAGCAGCCGCGGUAAUACGGAGGAUGCGAGCGUUAUCCGGAUUUAUUGGGUUUAAAGGGUGCGUAGGUGGCAGAGAAAGUCAGGGGUGAAAAGCUGCAGCUCAACUGUAGUCUUGCCUUUGAAACUUCUCAGCUAGAGUGUAGAAGAGGUAUGUGGAAUGUGUGGUGUAGCGGUGAAAUGCAUAGAUAUCACACAGAACUCCGAUUGCGAAGGCAGCAUACUGGGCUAUAACUGACACUGAAGCACGAAAGCGUGGGUAUCGAACAGGAUUAGAAACCCUAGUAGUCC